rnacentral:rRNA from 1 species
CCUACGGGAGGCAGCAGUGGGGAAUAUUGGGCAAUGGGCGAAAGCCUGACCCAGCAACGCCGCGUGAAGGAAGAAGGCCUUCGGGUUGUAAACUUCUUUUAAGAGGGACGAAGAAGUGACGGUACCUCUUGAAUAAGCCACGGCUAACUACGUGCCAGCAGCCGCGGUAAUACGUAGGUGGCGAGCGUUAUCCGGAUUUACUGGGUGUAAAGGGCGCGUAGGCGGGAAUGCAAGUCAGAUGUGAAAUCCAAGGGCUCAACCCUUGAACUGCAUUUGAAACUGUAUUUCUUGAGUGUCGGAGAGGUUGACGGAAUUCCUAGUGUAGCGGUGAAAUGCGUAGAUAUUAGGAGGAACACCAGUGGCGAAGGCGGUCAACUGGACGAUAACUGACGCUGAGGCGCGAAAGCGUGGGGAGCAAACAGGA